AGCAGUGAGGAAUAUUGGUCAAUGGACGCAAGUCUGAACCAGCCAUGUCGCGUGCAGGAAGACUGCCCUAUGGGUUGUAAACUGCUUUUAUACGGGAAUAAUUUCGCUACGUGUAGUGAGUUGCAUGUACCGUAUGAAUAAGCACCGGCUAACUCCGUGCCAGCAGCCGCGGUAAUACGGAGGGUGCAAGCGUUAUCCGGAUUUAUUGGGUUUAAAGGGUGCGUAGGUGGAAUUAUAAGUCAGUGGUGAAAGUUUGCGGCUCAACCGUAAAAUUGCCAUUGAAACUGUAGUUCUUGAGAAUAUUCGAAGUAGGCGGAAUGAGUAAUGUAGCGGUGAAAUGCAUAGAUAUUACUCAGAACACCGAUUGCGUAGGCAGCUUACUAGGAUAUUUCUGACACUGAUGCACGAAAGCGUGGGUAGCGAACAGGAUUGGAUACCCUGGUAGUCCACGCCGUAAACGAUGCAUACUCGUUGUUGGCAAAUUAUAUUGUCAGUGACCAAGCGAAAGUAUUAAGUAUGCCACCUGGGGAGUACGUCGGCAACGAUGAAACUCAAAGGAAUUGACGGGGGCCCGCACAAGCGGAGGAACAUGUGGUUUAAUUCGAUGAUACGCGAGGAACCUUACCUGGGCUUAAAUGGAGACUGCAUAGGGCAGAGAUGCCCUUUUCUUCGGACUGUUUUCAAGGGUGCUGCAUGGU
rnacentral:rRNA from 1 species